AUGUACUUGGUAAGCUGAAGUUACUUCUUAUGCCUAUAUUAAUAUGGUCAUCAGUACGUUUGUGAUGUUCUAAUUAGUGCUUUUAGUAGCAUUCGAGAAAAUUCAUGUCAUAAUUUUUGUAAAUCUGGUGAAUUGUGUGGCUCACCUCGAGGAAGCAUGGGCUUCACUAUUCUCUUUUUGCUUAAAAGCUACAUGGUCCUUG
rnacentral:misc_RNA from 1 species